UGGUGGUAGGUGCCUAAACCCAAGAUGGGGAAAAGGGUGACAAAUAGGGGGAAAAAGGAAGAGAAGAGGGUGGGGUUAGAGAAGGAAUAAGAUGGGUAGCAGUAGCAGGUGUGCAGUGGCCGAAAAAAAUGAAGAAGGAGAAGAAACAAGAGAAGACUGCAGCAGUGGCAACUACAGCCAACAGAAAGUGGAAGAAGGGUACAACCUAUCAUCACUGCUGCAGCCACCAUUGCAUUGCUUCUGUUGUGAUUGCUGUCUGGCAUUGGGGAGAAGCGGAAAAAGAUGCUUCUUAUUUUCUUUCUCCGAAUGGGUAUAAGUAUUUUGCUUUAUUAGGAAAGGAAAUCAUCUUUAACUUUAUAUAAUACUCCCUUAUAUUUAUUAGUAAAGGAAAUAAGCUUUUUAUUUUACAUAUAAGCCCCCAUUAAAACUUCAACUUAGAAGUAUGAAAUCAUAUAUUUCCCAUCCCCCCCCCCCCCCCCCCUUUUUAUGUAUUUAUAUUGCCUUGAUUAUCUACAUGACACUCAGGAACCUUAACAAAUAUACUGCACGCAUAGCUUGCUUUUGACAGUGUCAUGGAGAGUUGGACUAUUUAGAAUGUUGACCACCUCGCUGGAGUAACUUUCUGGACUGACAAUCUCCAACCCUUUGAACCAGGGGAAAAGUCAGUUUUAAUAGGUACAUUAACUCAGCCUUAUCCCAACUAAAUGGGGUCGGCUACAUGGAUCCUAUUUCACCAAUCAGUUAAAUUCAAAGCCAUGCAGGAUUCUAAUCCUAAGCUAUACAUGUCCUCCACUUGUAGCUCUUUUAGCUUCUUCAAUUUUCAGAUUUAAACACUUUUUUUUUCUUGUCGUGGGUCCUAUAGUCUCUUGUUUUAUAGAGUAGCAUCUAAGUUUCCAUGGGGCCAAGUUUCUAAUGUUUGGUGUACAGUCUACUAGGUCUAGGGUCACUGCAUUCUGUGAUGAAUUCAAAGAUGCUUCACCUUCAGACUUUCCUGGAGUGCUAGAAUUUUUUUUUGCCUACAAAAAACUCAUCAAAGGUCUAUGCCUUGCCAGGUGCCUUGUCAUAAAUUGGUUGAUCUGCCAAUUUGAAGCCACCUGCUUGAAAAUAAUGUAAUGCUGUAGGUCAUUGCUAUUUGGUAUGAGUGGGUGGACUUGCCAAUUUUCAUGCGCAAUGCGAGGCAAGUAUAUUAGAAAUGUUAAUUUUUGUUGCCUUGAUUGACUAACUCAUGACAUAUGGGCUUGGUAGCUGUAUAUUUUUUGUCAGUAAGAAAGUAGCAUGUUUUACAAGAUUCUGUACAUGUGAAAACCUUUCAUACAAAUUUGCAUGCCAUACAAGGGAUGCAAAUUUACUGGAGGAAGUUAAGCCAGUAAUAAUGGUUCUGUUCUAUAACUUGGAUGAAUAUAUAUAUAUAUAUAUAUAUAUUUACAUUUUUUGCCACAUCCAUCUUGUCCACUGAAGGCGGUAGAGGAUGUAUACUAAGUAUGUUGUGAAUAAGAACGGAAGCUGGAUGGAUAUUUUAUGUGAAUAUAUAUUUGCCAGAUCAUAUACAUAAUGCAUGUUGCUCUUUUUAUAGCAUUUACUUGAUACUGCUUUGGAUUUUGUUAUAUUCGCAGUUUUUCUCGCAUGGAGUGCAGUCUAAGGUGGGAAAAAUAUUCUUUUGGAUCGGAUUUGGUGGUUGGCAGUAGUAGUCACAGGGGUGCAGUGAAGGCUGGGAGUAUAGUGGCUGCAGGUAUUUUGUGGAGAGUGAUGACCUUCUAUCUCGGUGGACGAAAGGUCGAAAGAGCCAGCAGUGGGCGUAUCUGAGUUUUGCUAGAAGCCUAGAACGCUGAGGAAAAGUCCAAUUGGAGCUCUCAGCCCCGUGGUAAUGUUUACUGGAGAUCUGCCACAUCACACCAUGCCACGCGACGCUGUUGCAUUUAUUUUGACCUGUAAUCUUCUUCUACGGCAGCCAUCUUUGGGAGCUCAUUGAAAAGGCCUUCUCAGUUGUCUUGAUCGAGAAGACAAUGUGCUCCGAUUUAAGGUGUACCAAUGUUCUAAACAUCAUUGUGUUACAUAUGGAUAGCUGCUCAAAAAGGAAACAGUUGAAAAAGAUCCGUCUUCAGUUUAAAGAAAUUUGAUUUUUUUUUUACACCCUUAAUGGUAGUAUAGAGGGGCAUCUAUAUAAA